CAACCUCCUGGGCUCAGGGGAUCCUCCUGCCUCAGACUCCUGAGUAGCUGGGACCACAGGCACAUGCAACCAUGCCUAGCUAAUUUUUUCUUUUCUUUUCUUUUCUUUUUUAGAGAUGGGGUCUUGCUAUGUUGCACAGGCUGGUUUCAAACUCCUGCAAUCCUCCUGUGUGAGUAGCUGGGACUGUAGACAUGAGCCGCCGCAUCUGACCUCAUUGUUCUUUCAACGAAUGCUGCCUCCUACUCUGUUUCUAGCAAAGAUGAUAGUUCCAUUGGCUUCUACCUUAUCUCAUCCCAUACAGAAUUUUGGGUGGUGAACAAAGACCUAUAAGAUUUGGCCAGAGAACUCUCUGAGCAGCAGAUUAAGUGGAGAAUGAGGCAAAAAUUACCCCCACGUACCAAAAAAGGAGGCAGCAAACAAACUUACUUGCUCCUAAGCUUCCUGGUAGCCAAUCGGGAAAGUGAAAAUAGAACAGCUACACAGAUUAUAAUAUCCAUGAGAUUUUUAAUUUUUCUCCAAAGGAAUUCAGUAACUUUUCAUGUGUGUGAGUGUGUGUGUGUGUGUGUGUGUGUGUGUGUGUGUGUGUGUGGCUGUAGAGCAUGUCUUUAUGAAGACAGCCCUUUAUGUUACUACUAUUACUGCCAAUAAUAAUCCUCACAGCAAACUCAUGAAAUAAACAUGAUCAUUAUUCCCAGUUGACAAAUGAGUCCAAACUGUGCUUUAGAAAAUUUGGGGCUGGGCGUAGUGGCUCACGCCUGUAAUCCCAGCACUUUGGGAGGCUGAGGUGGGCGGAUCACCUAUGAACUCCAUCUAAAAAAAGAGAGAGAGAGAGAGAGAGAGAAUUCCUGUGAAAUGCUCAGAAUCACACAGCCAGAGAGCCUGUCUCUAAAUCCUGGGAUUGAUUUAGAUGAUGGCAAUGGGGUCCUUGGGUCUCUGUCUCAACAAGAAAGCAGAGCGAUAGAAGAAUAAAACCAUUACAAAUGGCCGUCCACACUGGGACCAAAACGUAAAAAGGCUGACAUAACUUAGGGAGGGUGGUCAGGGGCAGCCUUGCUGAGGAGGUGCGGUCUGGGCCAUGACUUGAAUGACAAGAAGGAACGAAGCUUGCAAAGGUUAGGGAGAACAACAGUGGAAUAUUAUUUGGUCAUAAAAACAGAAGAAAGCAUUGAUUCAUGCUUCAGCAUAGAUGAGUCCUGAAAAUAUUAUGCCAAGUGAAGGAAGCCGGAUACAGAAGGCUGCAUAGUGCAGUAUUCCAUCCAAAAGAAAUCUCCUGCACUGACAAAUACAUAGAGACAGAAAGUAGAUUCGUGGUUGCCAGGGACAGAGGAGAGAGAAAUGGGGAGAUAAAUGGGGUACGUGUUUUCUUUUGGAGUGAUGAGAAAGUUCUGGAAUUAGACAGUGGUGAUGGUUGCACAGCAUUGCAAGUGUACUAAAUGUCAUUCCCAAUCAACUUAAUAGUGUGUGUGUUUUACACCAAUUUAAAAAGAAAACAAGGCCAAGCACGAUGGCUCAUGCCUUAAUCCUAGCACUUUGGGAGGCAGGAGGAUUGCUUGGGGCCCAGGGUUAGACACCAGCCUGGAUAACCUCUCUAUUUUUAAAAUUUGUAAAGUUAGCUAGGUAUGCUGGCACGUGGCUAUAGUUCUAGCUACUUGGGGAGCAGAGGUGGGAGGAUCGAUUGAGCCCAGGAGUUUCAGGCUGGAGUACUCCAGCCUAGGCAACAGAGCAAGUCCCUGCCUUAAAUAAAUAAAUAAAUAAAUACAGCCGGGCGCAGUGGCUCACGCCUGUAAUCUCAGAAUUUUGGGAGGCCAAGGCCGGCGGAUCACUUGAGGUCGGGAGUUUGAGACCAGCCUGACCAACACGGAGAAACCCUGUCUCUACUAAAAAUACAAAAUUAGCUGGGCGUGAUGGCACAUGCCUGUAGUCCCAGCUACUCAGGAGGCUGAGGCAGGAGAAUGGCUUGAACCCGGCAGGUGGACGUUGCAGUGAGCCGAGAUAGCGCCAUUGCACUCCAACCUGGGCAACAAGAGUGAAACUCCAUCUCAAAUAAGUAAAUAAAUAACAGCCUGGGCAACUAGUGAGACCCUUUCUCUACAUAAAUAAAUAAAUAAAUAUCCGGGCAUGGCGGCACUUGCCUGUGGUCCCAGCUACUCAGGGGACUGAGGUGGGAGGACUGCUUGAGCCUGAGAGGUUGAGGCUGCAGUGAGCUAUGAUCACACCACUGAACUCAAGUCUGGAUAACAGAGCAAGACUUUGUCUCAAAAAUAAAUAUAUAGAAAACAAAGAUGAGGGGGAAGAUAAUUUAAGGCAAAAGAAUCCCAAGUUGCAAAGGCCCUGGGGUUCAAACGGCUUGGUGUGUUCUCCAAGGAGCCAGGAGGCUGAUGUGGCUUCAGGGGUGGAUGACUGCAGAUUGCAUAGGGCAUAGGGAGCCAAGCUAAGGAGCGGGGAAUGUGUCCAGGUGCAGCGGGAAGACUUUGGAGGAUUUGAAGAGGUGGGAGACAUUAUUUGAUUUAUGUUUAAGAUCACUCUGGGCCAGGUGCAGUGGCUCACACCGGUAAUUCCAGCACUUUGGGAGGCUGAGGCCGGCGGAACUCUUGAAGUCAGGAGUUCGAGACCAGCCUGGCUAACAUGGUGAAACCCCGUCUCUACUAAAAAUAAAAAAGAAUCGCUGGAGCUGGGCACGGUGGCUCACGCCUGUAAUCCUAGCGCUUUGGGAGGCCAAGGCAGGUGGAUUGCCUGAGCUCAGGAAUUCGAGACCAGCCUGGGCAACACGGUGAAACCUCGUCUCUACUAAAAUACAAAAAAUUAGCUGGGCGUGGCAGCGUGCGCCUGUAAUCCCAGCUACUUGGGAGGCUGAGGCAGGAGAAUUGCUAGAACCCGGGAAGCGGAGGUUGCAGUGAGCCAAGAUCGUGCCACUGCACUCCAGCCUGGGCGACAGAGCAAGACUCCGUCUCUAAAAAAAAAAUAAUAAAUAAAUAAAUCGCCUGGCUCGGUGGUUCACACCUGUAAUCCCAACACUUUGAGAGACCAAGGCGGGCAGAUCACCUGAGGUCGUGAGUUGGAGACCAGCCUGACCAACACGGAGAAACCCUGUCUCUACAAAAAAUACAAAAUUAGCCGGGCGUCCUGGCGCCUGCCUGUAAUCCCAGCUACUCGGGAGGCUGAGGCAGAAGAAUGGCUUGAACCCGGGAGGCGGAGGUUGCGGUGAGCCGAGAUCGCGCCAUUGCACUCCAGCCUGGGCAACAAGAGUGAAACUCUCUCUCUCUCUCUCUCUCUCUCUCUCUCUCUAUAUAUAUAUAUAUAUAUAUGUAUAUAUAUGUAUAUUUGUAUUUUAUUUUGUAUAUAUAUACAAAAUAUUUGUAUUUUAUUUUGUGUAUAUAUAAAUAUAUAUACAUAUAUUUGUAUUUUAUUUUGUGUGUGUAUAUAUAUAUAUAUACACAAAAUAAAAUACAAAUACAAAAAUUAGCUGGUGUGGUGGCAAAUGCCUGUAGUCCCAGCUACCUGGGAGGCUGGGACAGGAGAAUCGCUUGAACCCGGGAGGCGGAGGUUUCAGUGAGCCGAGAUCGCGCCACUGCACUCCAGCCUGGGUGUCACAGCAAGACUCCAUCUCAAAAAAAAAAAAUGUCACUCUGGUUCCUUUGCUGAGAAUUUGUUGGGAGAGUGGGAGAAAUAGGGAGGAAAGGCAUUAAUUCUCCAGAGAGAAACCCAGGAUCUGGGGCUCUUGCAGGCUUAGAGCUGGCCUGGAAGGGGCUGGUUAGCCAGCCUGAUUCUGCAGGAAUGUCUGAGGUCUCAACCUUCGUUUCCCCAGUAGGUAUUGUCUUCCCAGUGCCCAGAUCUGCCCUCAGGAGGCAGAUCCGCUGCACCUCUGCCCGCUGCACGCUACAUUCCCAUUUCACAGAGCAGCAGACUGAGGCUCAGAAAGGGUGACUGGUCUAAGCUCAUGUGUCUGGGCAAGGAGAGGAGGCAGAGAGCC
rnacentral:lncRNA from 10 species